rnacentral:rRNA from 1 species
UACGUAGGGGGCAAGCGUUGUCCGGAAUCAUUUGGGCGUAAAGAGCGCGUUAGGCGGUCCGGUAAGUCCGCUGUGGAAAGUCAAGGGCUCAACCCUUGAAUGCCGGUGGAUACUGUCGGGCUAGAGUCCGGAAGAGGCGAGUGGAAUUCCUGGUGGUAGCGGUGAAAUGCGCAGAUAUCAGGAGGAACACCAAUGGCGAAGGCAGCUCCGCUGGGACGGUAAGCUGGACGCUGGAGGCGCGAAAGCGUGGGGAGCAAACAGGA